rnacentral:rRNA from 1 species
UACAGAGGUCCCGAGCGUUGUUCGGAUUCACUGGGCGUAAAGGGUGCGCAGGUUGGUUUGGCAAGUUUGAUGUGAAAGCCCCGGGCUUAACCCGGGAAUGGCAUUGAAUACUGCUGGACUGGAGGAUCGGGAGGGGGGACUGGAAUUCUUGGUGUAGCAGUGAAAUGACGUAGAUAUCAAGAGGAACACCAGUGGCGAAGGCGAGUCCCUGGACGAUACCUGACACUGAGGCACGAAAGCUAGGGGAGCAAACAGG